rnacentral:lncRNA from 1 species
UGAGAUAGCACUACUGCUGCAAUUGAACCGAUUAAUCGGUUUAUUUUGAGUCUCCUCUCCAUUUUAGGGUUUCUUCAUGUUCAGUUCGUGUUUUCACCGAUUGAUUUGAGGUUUAGGGUUUCUCAGUGUCUGAUUAGGUUUUUCUAACAUUAUUUUCUUUGUUAUUUUUGUUAUUCCGCUGCAUUCUUCAUUCAGAACCGCUUCGAGGAACCUCUGGAUCGA